CAGCAGGAGAGCUGCAGAGCACAAACAUCUGAACUAUCAGCAAGCUCUGGACAAAGAGGACGCUGACUUCUGCACGAACCCCUCCAGUUUCGGUGAAAUACUUCUCAAGGUACUAGUCUCAUCUUUUCCCAGAAAUGAAGGAUGGUCAGACUAUCUGGGAUUACAAGCAGAGAGCGAAAAUGUCCCUUUAACCCGAGGACACUGCAGGAAAGGUCCUUCUUCCCCUUGGGCAUUUUCCUCACGAUUGCUUUAGCCCGGCCCUCAGGCUAUGGAGUUCUCCUUUCCAUUCUGUGAAUACACUGGAACUGAAAAUAAGAUUUGGAAUAAA